rnacentral:rRNA from 1 species
AGAGUUUGAUCCUGGCUCAGAACGAACGCUGGCGGCAGGCUUAACACAUGCAAGUCGAACGCCCCGCAAGGGGAGUGGCAGACGGGUGAGUAACGCGUGGGAACAUACCCAACUCUACGGAAUAACUCAGGGAAACUUGUGCUAAUACCGUAUACGCCCUUUGGGGGAAAGAUUUAUCGGAGUUGGAUUGGCCCGCGUUGGAUUAGCUAGUUGGUGGGGUAAAGGCCUACCAAGGCGACGAUCCAUAGCUGGUCUGAGAGGAUGAUCAGCCACAUUGGGACUGAGACACGGCCCAAACUCCUACGGGAGGCAGCAGUGGGGAAUAUUGGACAAUGGGCGCAAGCCUGAUCCAGCCAUGCCGCGUGUGUGAUGAAGGCCUUAGGGUUGUAAAGCACUUUCACCGGAGAAGAUAA